UCACCCUGCAGUAAAUGAUGACAUAUAUGUAUUUUAUAUCUAGGAAAAAAAAAUUAAGGAUAUUUUUCUCCACAAUAUCAGGCCUUAUAGAAUAACUACUUUACAAAACAUUGACCAGAACAUGAAAUCCUCCAAAUUAUGUCCUACUUAUAGGUUUCCAAAAAUGAACUUUAGAAUAAAUUCCCAGGGAUAAUUAGGAUGGGAAAUACACAGGCUAAUGUGUCCAUGCAUCGCAAGUGACGCUGUUGCAACUGCUCAAACCAAGGAAGGUGUGAAGAUAAAUGAAAUUCAUAGUCAAUAGAUCAUUUCUUCUCUGCAGCUGUCCCUGAAGGUGAGAGUAGGAACAGGAGGACCUUGACAUACCCAGUGGGACCAUCCUGACCUUCCCAGGUACAUCUACACUGCUUGAGGAUGGUACCAAAAGUCCUAUUUUUGGAUAAUGUCAUAAAUAUAAUUUUUUUUUCCAAAGUGAAUUACUUAUUCCUCUCUUUGUUCUAAAUAGCAAAUUUUAAAACAAGCUUAACUGAAAUGAAACUAUAAAAGCUGGAGGAGAAGACAAGUCAUUCCCAUGUAAAAAGGUGGGGUUUGGGGGUGAAAAAAGCCAUUCACAAAAUGGCAUCAAAUUAAACACAUUCUGUCUGAGGGGAAAAAAAAUAAGUGCCCCAAAAAUUUAGAGAUAAGUCAUCAUUAUAAGUUAGUCUAAAAGGGAUAAUUACUUUUUAAAAAUAGUAUUUUGAAACUACCCAAAAAUAAUUUGAAAAUGUGAAGCCUUUGCCCCCGCUUCUGUCUUGGAAAAAAAAUGGAUUUGUGUAAAACAAUUAGGGUCAAAUUAAGCAUUCCUUUAAAAUGCAUAUUCUCAAAUUCAAGAGAAAAAUUAAAAAAAAAUAUUUAUGGGUUUGUCCUGGUUUUGUUAAAAACAAGACCAGUUUUCUUUUAGUGAUUUUUCUUUCAACUACGUUCUUCCAGGUGGCUGUACUUUUCUGAGUUUUAGCCUGCAUAUUUUUCCUAGGAUGCUGUACUCAGUGCUGAUAAGAGACCAACGGAAUGCUGAAGAAGCUUGUGUUUAGAUUUAUUACUACGGUAGCUAAGAAAGACUGAUAAGUUUUCCCACCUUCCGUGUUUGAGGAGGGGUGGAUGGAACAGGUGACUAGAACUGACCAACGGAAGUAUUCCGUCCCAUAAUCGUCAUACCCUCUAUAUAAGAGGGUGAUCACAAGGGUCACGCUCUCUUCGACCAUGGCCGGCAUCUAGAGAGUACCCUGUCUGUCUGCUUGUGAUCUACAGGCCUCAGGCCCUGCAUCCCUGCAACCAGGUUCUGGUUUGCUGUGAAGUCCCGCCCAUGACUUCCAGGGGCCUGAGCUGCACCUGCUGGAGCCACGCCAGCUCUGCACACCCAGCUCCUGCUGCUGGAGUGACGCCAACUCCACACCGAGCAUUCAAGAGUGGUUUUGUAUAUUUUGUAUAUAUUCUCUAUUUAUUAGUAGCAUUAGUAAAACCCCUUUUAAACUCUCCAACUUGAAGUCUCUCUUCCUUUCCCCUUAUCUUUCUUAUCAUCUUUUCGAUCUAAAGGAAAGGGGUGGCAGGAAGUGAGGGGAUAACAGGGAGCGUCUGCCACGGUUUUUUGCCGCCUUGCCUUAAACCUUGACAGGGUUAGACAAGCUGUUUUUUUCCAAAAUUUUGCAAGGAAAUAAGGGAGAAUGGAUCAACUUGAUCCAUGGGACGGUGGAUGGUAGGUGGGGAGUUUGCGGGGUGCCCUGGGCAUGGGGGUGGCUCAGCUCUGCCCCACCAGCUGUGGAAAAGGGGUUUUGCUGCCUCGAUUUUCUCAUGCCAUUGGUUUAAAAAUGGCUUUUUCUGGGGUACGAGCACAGAUGCAUUGUGCUUGGAAGGUUCAUCAUCCAAGUUUGGCAUUUAAAUUUUUUCUUUUAUAUUGAGUGCAUCCACUUUUAUCUUAAUUCUUGGUAAAUUAUCCUCAGGUCAUACUCAGUCUUCCAAGCCUGUUUCCACCAGAAGUUGAGAGGCUUUGUCUGCACAAACCGUUUUCCAGGGCAAUUUUUGCAGUUCUUCCAGGUUUUCAUCAUGAAAGUGAGGUGAAUGGGACGCUAGCUUUACAAAAAAGCAAAAGAGGUGGCUGGGAUUCCCUGAAACAAAGAGAUUUUCACUGAAAACUGUCUUUUUUUUUUGAGUGUGGAAAAGCUAAUUGUCAAUUUUUUACCUCUUUUCAAUAUUAUUUAGGUCUCUUCAGAGUUUCGUUUCAGGCAGGGGAAAAUACAAACCCCAUUUGCAGACAUGUUCAUCGCUCUGAAAAGCCGGUCAUUGCCAUUUGUGAUAAUGGUUUGUAUUCAAUUAGAGAGAGUAAAGAUGUUUGUGUGGGGAGAAGAGGGGACAGAAAAAUUACAUUUAGCCUGGAAAAACAAAAACAACAAAAAAACCCCAAACAACAAACACAGCUCUAUUUCAUCCAUUAAAAGGUUUCAGUCCUACACAUCUUAUCUUUUCGUGCCAGAGGGGAGAGAAUUGGCCACUGGUGGUGUGACAGCUGAGUCCUGGCUCUAAUCGUGGCAGUGCAAAUCUGUGAUUGGGAAGGCAGGAGGAAUGGACUGGGCUCCCCUUCAAGAGGAAAAAACCCUGGUGGGUAUGAGAAGUUUUUAGGAACAUUU